rnacentral:lncRNA from 1 species
UACAAUAUUUACAUUUUAAAUUUAUCAAAAUAUUUAAUAAUUAAAGAAAAUAUUCACCGAAAUCUAGACUGAUAUUGUGUUUCUGACGGAUAUAAAUCUUUCUCGAUUUAUACCGAUACACAUCCAUAAUAUUCAAACAAUCCAAUUAAUCCCUUCAAUGAUUCAUCAUCUACUAUAUCGUGAGCAAUGUCACACCCUGGAUUACCAUGUUUUUCCGGGCACGCCAACAGACCCGCCGUAUAUACAGCAAUUUUCCGUGUAUACGAAGCGAUAGCUAUACCUGUAAACAAUCAUAGCUACAACCAGAAGUAUAGAGCUCCUAAAACUGAAACAUGUAUAUAUAAAAACAUACUAAGCCUACUAUACAUACAAUAUCCAAAAGAGGAAUGCUUCAAUACACCAUAAAUAUUAAAAUUUAACUCUUAAUUAGUAAAGGGUAUAAUUGGAUUUUACAUGAAGUAACCUGUUGAACAGGUUACCGAUUUGAAUAGUCAAUAUGACAAUAUUGGAAAAAAAUAAUAAUAAUAUAUACCAAAUUUGUCAGCAUCCUAUAAAUAUUAAAUAUCUGAUUUACAUUGGUAACUUACCAAAUUAGAUAAUACUCAAUUUGUUAAGUAUCCAGCUCAAAAAACUAUUGAAUUUAAAUUUAAUUUUUGAAGUUGGUAUUGUAAUGUAAAAUUUUAAUUUUGAAAUUCAUAUUAAACUUUUAAAUUUGAAUCUAAAUGAACUUUUAAUCUUAAAGCCAAAUUUUAAUUUUUGAUUUAAAUUGAAAUUUUGAAUUGGAACUAAAAGUUUUAUUUUAAAUUUGUGGUUUAUAUUUAAAAAAAUUGAAUUUGAUUUAUAAUGAAGUUUAAAUAUUGUUUUGAAUUUAAAUUUACAAUUUGAAAUCCAACUAUUGUUGUAGGCAUUUGAAAAGGUCACAGUAUUAUUAGUUGGAUAAAACUGGUUUUGUAGACCAAAAUAUUUUACAAAGACCAAAAUACCCUUUAAAUAGGUACCUGGUGAAUGGUACCUAUGCUUCAAUAGUAGGUCACCUCUAGAGUCAUAUUAAAUCUAAACCAUCUAUUUAGACAAAUAAAUGGUCAAAAUUUAUAUGGUGUAUUGAAGCAUUACUCUAUCCAAAAAACAACCUCAACUAAGAGAGUACAACCAACAUAACAGUAUGUACACGAUAACAACCAAAAACUACCUCUGAAUG